GAGCGCUUCCUUUGCACUCCAAACAUGCGCCGCUUACUGUAAUUACCCUUCAGAAUGAAGUUCCUGAGCUCAAAAUAGUUUCGGCCUCGCGGCUAGCUAGCUAGCUAGCCUUAUCUUGGUUGGUUCUGCUCCAGCUGCGAGCUGAAAUGAAACUAAAAAUGUUCUCAGCCUGUUGUCCAGAUAUUUACGACGAGUUAGUCAUUGUUGCCUUCAGAGUCAGAAAGUGCUUUUAAAAAUUAGUCAGCUGAUAUCAACACUGGACUGUGUGCUUACCGGAGUAUCUACGUGCUUUAAUGGCAGCUGAGGAGUUGGAGGCUGUGGAGAGAAACCAGACAGCCGAGUGAGUGGUCAAAAGGCGUCGGCGAUGAGCGGAAUGGGACUUGACGACCGAGCUUCACUGUUAACAUUCCCAAGUGCAACUACUCCAUCCUUAUAAGGAGGCCGAGGCAGGCCCGAUUCUAUUUCAUGUAUGGCGCAUUGCCUCCACACUCACAAUUCCCUCCGCAAUCCUACUGAGCUCGGCGAUGGCUGCUUGCCUGAAAAACUGAAUUCCACGCUCACCAAGCUAUGGCCAAAUAAGGACCGAAGCUCAAAAAAAACAAAAAAAAAACUCUUGGGAUGGAUUUAAACAUGCUGGCUCUCUGAUUUCCUCAGAGAGGGAAGAAAUCCACAGAGCGCCAUAAUGUGUGUUCAUCAUUGAUUUGACAUGUGGAGGUGGUGAUGCUGUACAUUCAGGAAGGUGACAAAUCAAGGAAAGACUGAAAUGAAUGACCAAUAUGGGGACAACUAAUAUCUUCCCAGAUGGGGCGCCUGAGGGUCAUUUGUGAGCAUAAACACAAGACAAGAUGGCGGUCGGUUUCAAAGUCCUCUAAAUUUUAGAGGUCAAACUCAUUUUUGUUGCGGGCCGCAUCGGCGUCAUCUUCGGAAGGCCACGAUGACUGUCAACCCAAAUAAAUCUCAUAUUAUAUACAGAAAACGCUACACAACAAAUUGAUGAAUAACUACCGUAAAUUCCGGACUAUAAGCCGCGACUUUUUUCCAAAAUUUUGAACCCUGCGGCUUAUAGUCAGGUGCGGCUUAUAUAAGGAUUUUUUUCGUGAUUUUUGUGAUGACUUGAUCACUUUUAUACACUGCGGUAUCUUGAAAAAAACAACAACAACAAAAAUACUAUUUUGAAACACUACUAUGGCUGCUGCUUAUUCUGGCUGUGUUGCUUGUGACUAUUAUGAGCUUUAGUAGGAAUGCACGCUAGGUGACCUCCGUCUCUAAACCCUUCGUCAUAGGCAAUGUUUAGAAAGACAUGUUAAAGUAUGUUAUAAAAACUUUAAAAAGGCUUUCUGUGAACGGUCUUUCUUUGUAAAAAAAAGCGUGUGCACGUCCGGUUUAUAGUCCGGUGCGGCUUAUAUAAGAAAAAAACUAAAAUAUCCCCCAAUUUUAGCUGGUGCGGCUUAUAGUCCGGAAUUUACGGUACUUUUGAAAUCAGGGUAAAAAACUGAAAAUUUUGAAAAAAUAUGAAUAGUAAAAAAUAGCCUC